rnacentral:rRNA from 1 species
GGCGAACGCUGGCGGCGUGCCUAAUACAUGCAAGUCGAACGAGAGCGACCGGUGCUUGCACUGGUCAAUCUAGUGGCGAACGGGUGAGUAACACGUGGGUAACCUGCCCAUCAGAGGGGGAUAACAUCCGGAAACGGAUGCUAAAACCGCAUAGGUCUUCGAGCCGCAUGGCUUGAAGAGGAAAAGAGGCGCAAGCUUCUGCUGAUGGAUGGACCCGCGGUGCAUUAGCUAGUUGGUGAGGUAACGGCUCACCAAGGCCGUGAUGCAUAGCCGACCUGAGAGGGUGAUCGGCCACAUUGGGACUGAGACACGGCCCAAACUCCUACGGGAGGCAGCAGUAGGGAAUCUUCCGCAAUGGACGCAAGUCUGACGGAGCAACGCCGCGUGAGUGAAGAAGGUUUUCGGAUCGUAAAACUCUGUUGUUAGAGAAGAACAAGUGCUAGAGUAACUGUUAGCGCCUUGACGGUAUCUAACCAGAAAGCCACGGCUAACUACGUG